AACGAACGCUGGCGGCGCGCUUAACACAUGCAAGUCGAACGAGAAGGCGUAGCAAUACGCUUGUAAAGUGGCGAACGGGUGAGGAAUACAUGGGUAACCUACCCUCGAGUGGGGGAUAACCCGCCGAAAGGCGGGCUAAUACCGCGUACGCUUCCGAUCUUGCGGGAUCGGAAGGAAAGCUGUCCCUUGGGGAUGGCGCUCAAGGAUGGGCUCAUGUCCUAUCAGCUUGUUGGUAGGGUAACGGCCUACCAAGGCAUCGACGGGUAGCUGGUCUGAGAGGACGAUCAGCCACACUGGCACUGCGACACGGGCCAGACUCCUACGGGAGGCAGCAGUGAGGAAUAUUGCGCAAUGGGCGAAAGCCUGACGCAGCGACGCCGCGUGGGGGAUGAAGGUCUUCGGAUUGUAAACCCCUUUCGGGUGGGAAGACGGCCCUAGACAACUAGGGCGGACGGUACCGCCAGAAGCAGCCACGGCUAACUUCGUGCCAGCAGCCGCAGUAAU
rnacentral:rRNA from 1 species